UCCACAGUCUACUAUCAAAAAAGGAUUUCAUUCCGUAUCCUGUCUCGCUUCUGUUACUGAAAAUGAUGAAAAUGUAAGUGACAGUAAUGUGGAUAUGAAUCGAAGUGGGAGACACUCAAAUGCAGAAGAUUAUUCUCAGGAGACCACCCUAUUUUGGCAGCAGAAUGCAGAGAGACCCAGUAAAGAAGAAUUACAUGAAAAUAUCAGUUUUGAUGCAAAACGAAUGUCAGAAACAGCUGAUACUGGUACGAACAGCCAGACAGGGGA
rnacentral:lncRNA from 1 species